AGUGAACGCUGGCGGUAGGCCUAACACAUGCAAGUCGAACGGCAGCACAGUAAGAGCUUGCUCUUACGGGUGGCGAGUGGCGGACGGGUGAGGAAUACAUCGGAAUCUACUUUUUCGUGGGGGAUAACGUAGGGAAACUUACGCUAAUACCGCAUACGACCUACGGGUGAAAGCAGUGGAUCUUCGGACCUUGCGCGAUUGAAUGAGCCGAUGUCGGAUUAGCUAGUUGGCGGGGUAAAGGCCCACCAAGGCGACGAUCCGUAGCUGGUCUGAGAGGAUGAUCGGCCACACUGGAACUGAGACACGGUCCAGACUCCUACGGGAGGCAGCAGUGGGGAAUAUUGGACAAUGGGCGCAAGCCUGACCCAGCCAUACCGCGUGAGUGAAGAAGGCCUUCGGGUUGUAAAGCCCUUUUGUUGGGAAAGAAAAGCAGCAGGUUAAUACCCCGCUGUUCUGACGGUACCCAAAGAAUAAGCACCGGCUAACUUCGUG
rnacentral:rRNA from 1 species